rnacentral:lncRNA from 1 species
ACAAAGUGAGCUUAAAAACAUGCAUAUCCAUUCAUUAUUUUUACACAACCACCUAGUACAUAGCAGAAUCAGUGAUGAGCUGCACUAGGCAAAGACUUGCUACUCUUUUCUCUCUGCAUUUCCCAUAAACAAAAAAACAAACUUCAAUUGAACAUUGAUGUUCUCUUCUCUUUCUCACUGCGUGCAAUACAAAUGAUUUCCAGAAUAAAAAGAGUGAGCUACAAAACAAAACAGGGCGAGCUGCAAAAACAAAAAGAGUGAGCUGCACCAUGAGACUCAUGCACUGGUGCCUAAUUGUCUACACAUGAACAAACCAUUCUGAGCUAGAAUUCCCAUUCCUACAUUAAACACUUACCUGAAGAGGAGGCGGACUGCACUUCGGCCACCGGCGACCAACACACCAUGGACUGCACACACACACACACACACCGUGCUGCAAGGAUGCGCCGCGGACUGCAUCGAGGGUGCUUAGUGUCUACGCUACACGACCAGGGUACUGCAAAAAAUGCAACGAAACUCCAAGACAAACUACACGCCGCCGUUGUCUGUACUACACGCCGCUGUUGGCCGCCGACCUCCAGCGCAUCGCAGCAUUGAGAGAACCGAACCCCAUCGAGGAGCGGGGCGAACCGCACUGCAUUGGCAAAAUUUAGGAUACACACACCGAACUUCAGAUGAUUCUACUGCCACCAC